rnacentral:lncRNA from 1 species
AUAUGUGUAUGUUUGGUUUCAAUUCUGGAGCAUCCAGAAUUGAUUCUGGACGUGUAGAAUUGAUUCUGACUUGUUUGGUUUCUCAAAAGUAGAAUUGAUUCUGCCUCCAGAAUUGAUUCUACUUGAAGCUAGAAAUCGUAGCUUCUGAUUCUAGAAUUGAUUUUUACACUUAAAUUUUUUGUUCAACUCACUUUUUCAUGAAUAUAUCCAAACAUAAACCACUUCAGCUUAAAAUCAAUUUUGGCCAGAAUCAAUUUUAC